UACGAAGGGGGCUAGCGUUGCUCGGAAUCACUGGGCGUAAAGCGCACGUAGGCGGAUUGCUAAGUCAGGGGUGAAAUCCUGGAGCUCAACUCCAGAACUGCCUUUGAUACUGAAGAUCUUGAGUCCGGGAGAGGUGAGUGGAACUGCGAGUGUAGAGGUGAAAUUCGUAGAUAUUCGCAAGAACACCAGUGGCGAAGGCGGCUCACUGGCCCGGUACUGACGCUGAGGCACGAAAGCGUGGGGAGCAAACAGGG
rnacentral:rRNA from 1 species